rnacentral:rRNA from 1 species
GACGAACGCUGGCGGCGUGCUUAACACGUGCAAGUCGAACGAUGAAGCCGGAGCUUGCUCUGGUGAAUUAGUGGCGAACGGGUGAGUAACACGUGAGUAACCUGCCCUUGACUCUGGGAUAACUGCUAGAAAUGGUAGCUAAUACCGGAUACGACCCUCGGCGGCAUCGCCAGGGGGUGGAAAGAAUUUCGGUCAAGGAUGGACUCGCGGCCUAUCAGCUAGUUGGUGAGGUAACGGCUCACCAAGGCGACGACGGGUAGCCGGCCUGAGAGGGUGACCGGCCACACUGGGACUGAGACACGGCCCAGACUCCUACGGGAGGCAGCAGUGGGGAAUAUUGCACAAUGGGCGCAAGCCUGAUGCAGCAACGCCGCGUGAGGGAUGACGGCCUUCGGGUUGUAAACCUCUUUUAGUAGGGAAGAAGCGAAAGUGACGGUACCUGCGGAAAAAGCACCGGCUAACUACGUGCCAGCCGCCGCGGUAA